UAGGGAAUAUUGGUUAAUGUGCGAAAGCGCGAACCAGCAACGCCGCGUGUGCGAUGAAGGCCUUCGGGUCGUAAAGCACUUUUUGCAGGGAAGAGGAAGGACGGUACCUGCAGUAUAAGUCUCGGCUAACUACGUGCCAGCAGCCGCGGUAAAACGUAGGAGACGAGCGUUAUCCGGAUUUACUGGGCGUAAAGCGCGUGCAGGCGGCAUGGCAAGUUGGAUGUGAAAGCUCCCGGCUUAACUGGGAGAGGUCGUUCAAUACUGCCAGGCUUGUGAGUGGUAGAGGGAAGCGGAAUUCCGGGUGUGGUGGUGAAAUGCGUAGAUAUCCGGAGGAACACCAGUGGCGAAAGCGGCUUCCUGGCCCAUUUCUGACGCUCAGACGCGAAAGCUAGGGUAGCAAACGG
rnacentral:rRNA from 1 species